AUGGAGAUUAAUAGAGCUCCUGGUCCUGAUAAUAUCCCAGUAUUUUAUAAAUGAUGUUGGGACUUUGUGAAGGUAGAUAUCAUGCAUAUGUUUGAGGCUUUCCAUGCCGGAACGCUAGAUGUAGCUCAUCUGAACUAUGGUGUGAUUACCUUGAUUCCUAAGAGGGCGGGAGCUAAAAAACAACAAUUCUGUUCUAUAUGACUUAUUCGUUGUCCUUAUAAAUUGAUUACAAGAGUGCUAGAUAAACAUGUAGUUAUUUACGUGGAUAAGUUGAUUAGCCGACACCAGAAUGCUUUUAUUAAAAACAGAAAUAUUUUGGAUGGGAUCAUGUCCUUGCAUGAAGUGCUACAUCAUACCCAUGUUAAGAACAAAGUUGGGGUGGUGCUGAAACUAGACUUUGAAAAAGCCUAAGACAAAAUUAAUUGGGACUUCUUAUUGGAGUACCAUAGGAUGAGGGGCUUCAAUGAAAAGUGGUGUGAGUGGAUUAAUAAAAUCCUGAACGAUGGUACGGUUAGUAUCAAGCUGGAUAAUGAGGUUGGGCCAUACUUUAUGAGCCACAAAGGGGUUCGUCAGGGCGACCCCCACUCGCCUUUCUUGUUUAACCUUGCCGUUGAGUGCCUUUCGAAAAUGAUUCUCAAUGCUCAAAAGGAAAAAUUGAUCAGUGGUCUAGCUCCUGUAUAUUAUGCGGAGCUUUUCAACUGCCAAAUAGGUCAUUUCCCACUGCGAUAUCUUGGGGUAUCAGUCAGUUUUACCUCUCUUAGAUGCCUUGAGUGGAUCUUUGUUGAUGAAAAAUUUGGCAAAUGA
rnacentral:rRNA from 1 species